GAUGAACGCUGGCGGCGUGCCUAACACAUGCAAGUCGAACGGAGUCGUUUUGGCAAUCUCUUCGGAGAUGGAAUUCUCGACUUAGUGGCGGACGGGUGAGUAACUCGUGAGCAAUCUGCCUUUAAGAUGGGGGUAACAGUCGGAAACGGCUGCUAAUACCGCAUAAAGCAUUAAAUUCGCAGGUUUUUGAUGCCAAAGGAGCAAUCCGCUUUUAGAUGAGCUCGCGUCUGAUUAGCUAGUUGGCGGGGUAACGGCCCACCAAGGCGACGAUCAGUAGCCGGACUGAGAGGUUGAACGGCCACAUUGGGACUGAGACACGGCCCAGCAUCCUCCGGGAGGAAGCAGUGGGGAAUAUUGCGCAAUGGGGGAAACAAUGACGCAGCAACGCCGCGUGAUGGAAGAAGGCGUUCGGGUUGUAAAGAUCUUUAAUCAGGGACGAAACAAAUGACGGUACCUGAAGAAUAAGCUCCGGCUAACUACGUG
rnacentral:rRNA from 1 species